UGGGUCACAAGCACUGCGUUUCUGGAAUUCGUUCUCCUGAGAAAUAGGUCAAUUCUGGUUUUCCUAGGAAGUCCCCUGGGCAAAGACCCCAUCUCCUGCACUCUUUCGAAUAUAAAUUGACCCUGACAGGGAAACAACCUCCAACUUUUGCAAGUCCCUUUGGGGAAGAGCUUUAAAUACAAGUUCAGAAAUGGCCUUGGUGCUCUGGGGGAGUUUGGGCUCAAGGUUGUAACCUCUCUUAGGCCCUGGGGCUUGGAAGCCCAGAGGCCAAAGACCCAAGGAAGCAGGCUCACUGGCUUGCAUUUCCUUUAGUAAAGGGGUUGAAAGUGAACACUUUCCUGCAUCCUGCAGAGCCUUUUCCUUCCCUGGGCCUAAUAUUUCACAUACCUGAUGAUAUCCAGACAGUGCUAAGCUCUGGACUCCACGAAAAGCCUUUCAGCUCAUCAUUCCAACCUUACCAGUCAAACUGUCCAGAAGAUGCAGAUUGGAUUGAUGAGAGGAGGAUGCUCUCACAAGAUGGAAGCCUUGGAAACACCCACACAGCUGAUUCUUGGGCUGUAAUUCAUCUGAUGUUUUUCACAAAUGGCAGCUUCUCCUGACUUGUUGCUGACCAGUUGAGCAAUGUCUUCAACUUUAUGGUGUAAACAGAACCGGGAAUCCUGCCUAUGACACCCAACAUCCUCACGUCGUGGGAGAAACCUCCUUGUGUUUUUCUCAGCACCCAGAACUUUUCCUAGGAAAAUGGUUAUAAUGGUAAGACUUCUUCAAAAAUGAACUGGUUUUAGUACUGGAACCCAUAAAGCUUCAUUAUAUACUUUUUUUCUCCAAAAAUUGUUUUUUUUUUCUUUUUUUUUCCAGAAAGCAACAUCAAACAGAAAUUUCUGAGAUCAAGAACAGGAAAUGAGUGAUUCAGCAGGCUGGAUUUCACCCAAGGAGCUGUCUCCACAGCUGUAGAGAAUAGCUAAGAAAAGUUCCAGGGGACUUGCCUGGUACUGCUUGAAAGCAGUCGGACUGAGAACCAU
rnacentral:lncRNA from 12 species